UAGCAGGGGAGCCUGGGAAAGACCAGCACAACUAUGGGGUCACAAUAGGAAUGACCUGGUGUGAUGCGAGCCAUCCAUGUCUUCAGCCUUGUGUCACUGUUUCCAUAAAGUCCCCGGGAGACCACCUGGCUGGUCACACCUAGAUCCUGCACCUAGAUCCUGCACUGACCACCAGGAGCAGAAGGGAGAGGAGAGGACUGAACCUGGCCUGUGGCUUUCACACAGCAUAGUAUUGCUCAGGAGUUUGUCAUCCCGCCCAAAUGAUGCCUCUGAGGGAGACGGGUCCAGUCUCCACGGUUCUCCGUCCUGCUCUGGGGCUUCAGAGAUUGAUGUCUAAGACAGGACCAAGGAGCUCCCUCACUCUCUUGCUUCUAG
ensembl:lncRNA